rnacentral:rRNA from 1 species
UGGGGAAUAUUGGGCAAUGGGGGAAACCCUGACCCAGCGACGCCGCGUGGGUGAUGAAGGCCUUCGGGUCGUAAAGCCCUGUCUGGAGGAAAGAACGUUCUCAUAGCGAAUACCUAUGAGAAGUGACGGUACCUCCGAAGGAAGCACCGGCCAACUCCGUGCCAGCAGCCGCGGUAAGACGGAGGGUGCAAGCGUUGCUCGGAAUUACUGGGCGUAAAGGGUGCGUAGGCGGCCUUUCAAGUCUGGCGUGAAAGCCCAGGGCUUAGCUUUGGAAGUGCGCCAGAAACUGGAAGGCUAGAGUGCCGGAGGGGAGAGUGGAAUUCCCGGUGUAGCGGUGAAAUGCGUAGAUAUCGGGAGGAAUACCGGUGGCGAAAGCGACUCUCUGGACGGCAACUGACGCUGAGGCACGAAAGCGUGGGGAGCAAACAGGAUUAGAUACCCCCGUAGUCC